GACCUACGACCAUACCAUGCUGAAUACACCGGUUCUCGUCCGAUCCCCGAAGUAAAGUAGCAUCGGGCCCGGUUAGUACUAAGAUGGGAGACCGCCUGGGAAUACCGGGUGUUGUAGGCUU
rnacentral:rRNA from 1 species